rnacentral:lncRNA from 1 species
GCGGCCUGCAGACUGCCAGCCCCAGGACCAGCACCAUCUGCACCCCUGCAGGAACCUCUCUGUGCAGCUCGCCUGAGUGUCUGAGGGCAGAUAGCCUUGGAGAAGGCUCCUGUACGACCUGUUCUUAUCUUGGCCAAGAGCGCUCUGGAAUCCAGGAUUUGAUUUCUGCUGCAAAGUUUGGCUCUGCUGUGUCCGCAAAGGGAAAAGCAAACGCCCCUCCUGGUCUCACCGCGGGUUUGGCACUAAUGACAGUGUCAGGAAGUCAUUCCAGUUCAGAAAGUACAGACAGUGGCUGUUGGGGUCUGACCACAGGAAAGGUAUUGUUAAAAGGGGAUUCUGGACAAGGGGUGGUUGUGGGUGCCCUGGGGCCUCUGAGUCUGGGGUGGGCUCAGGAGGACGCAGGACACAGCAGACCCAGAUGCAGAGAGCGGUGACACGGGCUCGUGGGGCUUGUGCUUGUGUGUGUGUGCGUGUGUGUGUGUGUCACCAUGAAUCUCCAAAUGAAAUCUUGAUCAACAAUCGUGGUGUUAGCCUGUGAGAAGAUAGCACAAAGGUUCUUUAAAGAAGUCCACUUUUAAGGCAUCGGAGAAGUUAAUGUGGCAAACGUUUUAAUUAAAACAUCAGAAGUAAAUUUUAUUUUAAACUUUAGGCCUCUGAAUUUUUCCAGUAAACACGGUUCAGCUAUGUGGCAAAGUC